rnacentral:rRNA from 1 species
AUUGAACGCUGGCGGCAGGCCUAACACAUGCAAGUCGAACGAGUGGCGGACGGGUGAGUAAUGUAUGGGAAACUGCCUGAUGGAGGGGGAUAACUACUGGAAAAGGUAGCUAAUACCGCAUACCAUCAGAUGUGCCCAGAUGGGAUUAGCUAGUUGGUGGGGUAACGGCUCACCAAGGCGACGAUCCCUAGCUGGUCUGAGAGGAUGACCAGGCACACUGGAACUGGGACACGGUCCAAACUCCUAACGGGGGCAGCAGGUGGGGAUAUUGCGCAAUGGGCGCAAGCCUGAGGCAGCCAUGCCGCGUGGAUGAAGGAUGCCUUCGGGUUGUAAAGUACUUUCAGCGGGGAGGCGUUACCCGCAGGAGAAGCACCGGCUAACGCCGUGCCAGCAGCCGCGGUAAUAC